GUGACAUAAGAAUAAAAUGGCCAACCAUUUCAUCAGAAUCUCACAAGGACCAACCAUCGCACUGAAGACAGGAGUGGCACACACAAAGAUGAAGAAACUGAGGCUGGGAAAAAUGAAAUGAUGGACAUUUGACUACUCCCUGACUACACGGACGUCUACAGCAUGACAGCAACAAGACCCCAGGCUUCCAGAGCCUCAGCAUGGCCUUGCUUCAGUACCUCCUAUACCUUCUUCUGUCCACGUGUAGAGACAUAAUAUUUCCUAUUUCUAUUUUAAAAGAGAGGAGGUCAGAUGAGCCUUCCCUCCUUCUCACCUACCCUGA